UAGGGAAUCUUCGGCAAUGGGGGGAACCCUGACCGAGCAACGCCGCGUGAGUGAAGAAGGUUUUCGGAUCGUAAAGCUCUGUUGUUAAGGAAGAACGAGUGUGAGAAUGGAAAGUUCAUGCUGUGACGGUACUUAACCAGAAAGGGACGGCUAACUACGUGCCAGCAGCCGCGGUAAUACGUAGGUCCCGAGCGUUGUCCGGAUUUAUUGGGCGUAAAGCGAGCGCAGGCGGUUAGAAAAGUCUGAAGUGAAAGGCAGUGGCUCAACCAUUGUAGGCUUUGGAAACUGUUUAACUUGAGUGCAGAAGGGGAGAGUGGAAUUCCAUGUGUAGCGGUGAAAUGCGUAGAUAUAUGGAGGAACACCGGUGGCGAAAGCGGCUUACGGGAGCGCAACUGACGCUAAAGCUCGAAGGUGCGGGUAUCGAACAGG
rnacentral:rRNA from 1 species